CUACAGCUCACCUUGAGAAGAGCUUUCCUGAACUUCUCUUUCCCUGACAGCUUGUCAAGGAAGUCGUAAUAGAAUUUCAUGUGGAAGGUCAGUCCAUCAAUGUGGAGCACUCCAAUGUCCUUGAAGACAACGGCAACGUUCUCCCCAUUCUUCAGGCAGCCAGAGAGCAGGGACACGGUGCUUUGGAUGCAAGCCUGCGCUGUCUGCCAGGUCACAGAGGCAGCUGCGGCCACCUCGCUGCUCUUGAGCGGCUCCAGCUUCCUAUGGGCUGAAAAAUGGGAGGGACGGAGUUGAUGAUACGGGACUCCCUGCGGGGCUUGAGGUGGUGCACGGCUAUGAGGUUUCCAGACAAGUGAAAGACGGGCCAUCGCAGAGUCACGGUCCCGUCCUCAGUCCUGAUGUCUCUGGAGAUGGUGUCAAAGGAUCCGAAGCACAGCAGUCAGGGCAGAAGCAGCCUGAUGGGAUCCAGAGGCUUCCCGCGAGCGGGAUCAGCCCUGAGACAGGACAGCGCCCAGCACAAGUGAUCCUGCGGGAUUUGCAGGAAGCCCAUGGCAUGCCCAGUAGAGACGCGUGGGGUGAGUUUCCUGCUUUCUGUGGAGGGGAAGAGUGGGAGGAAGUCUUGGCUGAGGCGGACAGGGAGAGGAGGAACCCGGCAGCCA
rnacentral:lncRNA from 1 species